AUUCAAGCCUAACUUGAGCCUUACCUAGGAAAAGAUCUAAGAGUCUGCGUGUCUUUAAAAACCUUUGAAGUGUGGAAUAAGAAGAGUUUGCAUCUUUUAAAAACAUGGUGAAGGAGUUUUUGCAAGUUCCUCUAAAAAAACCAGAAAUGUGAUACGUUUCCAAGACAAAACGUGAAACUUAUUGAUAUCCUUUUUCUUGAUAAUUGUUUAGUUUGUGCUAAAUUUAUGGCCAUUUAUUUGCUUAAUAUCUGAACAGAAUGUCAAAUCUCCAUCUCAAUCUCUAAAUGUGCAUAUUUUACAUUGUAUUUCCCACGUAAUUCAUUUAUCUGUUUAGCACUUUUUCCAUACAAUUCAGUGUUUAAUUUGCUAUAUUAUAUCAGGCAUUUCCCAUGGAAAUCUACAUGAACACUACUCUAUCUUAUUUAAUGGAUCAAUUAACUGCACCUUUAGCUAAUAACUCAAAUUAUCUUGAGAUUGAUCAUAAUCCAUUUCUAACUAGAUUGAUCAUACAAUGUUUGUAAGGAAUGAUGACUGCAUUCCACAUUGUCUCUUCUUUCAUCUACAUGAACCUUUAAUAUUCACACAAAUUACACUUUACAAUAACUUCAACAAUUUUGUAUCAUACAGUUUAGUGUUUAUGAAGAAAUACUUCAUAUGUCUGGAGCAUUGCUUCCAUCUAAUACUGGGUGCAUCCAAUGGUUUUCUAAAUAUGGAACAAAGCAUGGAUCACAAGUCGACGGGUUUCAUUUUUUAUAUUCCUAACAUUUCAUUUUGGCCAGUUAGUUUGUCGAUAUUUACUAUCAUAUGGUCCAUCUUUGUACAAUUGUUGCACGCCACAUUAUUAUCUAUGUUCAUAUGAAGAAACUCUUUGGAAUUUCUAUCGAAGUUUGGAAACAUAAAGCAAUAUAGAAAAGGAGAUACAUGAAGAAGGUACGAUAAAGUCAAUUGAAAGAGACAAGUUACCGGACACAAUGCGUGGACACAAAUCUAAGAAACAAACUCGAGACGAUAGAUAGAUCAUGAUUUUGGGACCUCUAGUCGCUGAAAGAAAGAUUCACACAUUUCUACUUCCAAAACAAGUCCAAUGGUAGAGAAUUUAUGUUUCUAAUUAUUUUGUAGUUCCAAAUUUGUGGUCUACAUUCCCAAGUUACUAACAACAAGUUGAUCAAUAUACUAUGAAUUUUAAGGAUUUUAUAAAUUGUACAUUUGUAACGAAUUAUAAAAGUUUUGUUAAAAGGCAAUGAUUUUAAUUUUAAACGUUGUGAAAUUAUUAUCUUUGGUAUUAAAAGACAAGUUUAAAAUCAUUGUAGAACUAUUGUCUAUUGCGCUUAAAGACAAUGGUUAAAACUGUUAUAAUUCGGUUGACUUUUCAUUUAAAAAUAACGAUUUCAAACCAUUAUUGUUCAGCGCACUUUUAACAACAAUAUUAAUUACAAUAGUUUUAAAAGCGAAAAGACAAUAGAUUUUAUCCAUUGUCUAUUCACAUUUUUGUUAUAGUGACAUCUUGAACUUAGUUCACCAUUCUAACAUCUUGCUUGUGUCUAGUAUAUCUCAAUAUACACACAAGUUAUCCUAUGAAUUUUAUGAGAUGUAAAAUUAAUUUGUCUUUAUAACUAUGGGGUCAUACAUCUCUAUAUAGACAUUUUACAUCUGAUCAUUCUAUCAAAGAUGUCGACAAUGAUAUUUGUUGUUAAUUGUAAGACUUUCUAUUUAUGUGUGUGAAUGAAUAUGAUAUACAUCAAAUAUAUAACUUCAUAAAGAAAUCUAUCAAGCUUAAUGACGCUAUGACAUGCUAUGUAUUAUUUUUCAUAGCAAAUUGCUAUAAUAUUAAUGUAUGUCAUGAUGUUAUGGCAUGUGAGCACACAAGCAUGAUAACUAUGGCAUAAAAAAAUACCUAAAUUUUUUUUCAUCUAACUGUUAUCAACUAAUCACUAUAUUAAAUAGAUAAAACUUUUUAUUAUUAUUUUUCAUAAUUUUAUUCUUUUAAUAAUUUUUAGAUUUUUUUUAGUAUUUUUGAUAAUUUUAUGUUUUUAUAUAUUUUUUUUAUUUUGAGUCUGUUUAUAAAUUUUAAUAUUAAGAAUUUGUUAAUAAAUUUUCUCUUUUUUCUGAAAUUUUUUUCCUUUUUUUACAAGAUUACAUGCUAAGAAUUGCUUUUUUAGAAAUUCUUUUUUUUUAAUGUCCUAGAGUUUGGGUUUAUAUAAAUGUCUUGUUAGUUGAUGUAAGGGAGAAGAUUCUUUGGAUUAAUAAUAUUUCGGUAAUGUCGUUUAUUUUUUCUGUUUCCUUGUAUUUCUCUUUGAAUCAAUAUGUUGAAGAAGAUUAUUUCCAGUAUUCAUGUGAGAAUCAACGGAUUCAAUAGCCCACGUUAGUUGGUAUCAGAACUCUAGAUCCCAUAGAUGAUCAUCGUGAUCGUGAUAAUAGUCGUGACAAACAAGUGAUAUUUCUUUUUUAGAAAUUCUUUUUUUUUUAAUGUCUUAGAGUUUGGGUUUAUAUAAAUGUCUUGUUAGUUGAAUGUAAGGGAGAAGAUUUUUUGAAUUAAUAAUAUUUUUGAUAAUGUCGUUUAUUUUUCUA